AGUGAACGCUGGCGGUAGGCCUAACACAUGCAAGUCGAACGGCAGCACAGUAAGAGCUUGCUCUUACGGGUGGCGAGUGGCGGACGGGUGAGGAAUACAUCGGAAUCUACUUUUUCGUGGGGGAUAACGUAGGGAAACUUACGCUAAUACCGCAUACGACCUACGGGUGAAAGCAGGGGAUCUUCGGACCUUGCGCGAUUGAAUGAGCCGAUGUCGGAUUAGCUAGUUGGCGGGGUAAAGGCCCACCAAGGCGACGAUCCGUAGCUGGUCUGAGAGGAUGAUCAGCCACACUGUAACUGAGACACGGUCCAGACUCCUACGGGAGGCAGCAGUGGGGAAUAUUGGACAAUGGGCGAAAGCCUGAUCCAGCCAUACCGCGUGGGUGAAGAAGGCCUUCGGGUUGUAAAGCCCUUUUGUUGGGAAAGAAAAGCAGCAGGUUAAUACCCCGCUGUUCUGACGGUACCCAAAGAAUAAGCACCGGCUAACUUCGUG
rnacentral:rRNA from 1 species